rnacentral:lncRNA from 1 species
AGAAAAUGGAGCAAAUGCUAGGUGUGUCGCCAGGUGUGCCGGUGGCCUCUGGGCCUGGGGCCGUGCAAGGAACUGGUGACCCCAGUGCAGGACACCUGAGAAGAGCAUCCCUUCUCCCACGGGAGUGUCUGGAGUCCAGAGGGGUACAUGCAUGAAGACCUGCAUGGAAACUACACCGAAACCUGCUCAGUGGAGCCGCCUUUGGCCUGAGAACAGGUGGGGAAGAGUAUUUGGAUCUCAUUUCGUACUCUUAAAAUGUCAUCAGGAAACAUCUGGAUGGAAGGGUUUGUGCUUGGUGGUUUGUUUGCAUAUGCAUUCACCCUGGCGAUCACCACGCACAGCGAGCCGCAGAGUGCUUCACAGGACUUCCUCUGUGCCCGGCCUGCCAAUGCCACACCUGGGCCAGAGGUGCCAUCGGCUCCCGAGGUCACCCGCCAGCUCUGUUGAUGGCUGUUUCCCUGUCUGGGCCGUGGUUAGGGCCGCUGUGAACGCUCCUACAGGCACUUCCGGCAGACACGUGCUCCACUUCCCUUGGAUCACAGAGGAGGUGAAUGUGCAGCCACAGCCACACCAUCUGCAAGCGCUCACUGGGUCGGCGCCCCACGGCCUGGCACGUCUGCCCCGGCCCGGAGUCUCGGUACCGGUACCGUACUGCCCUUCCCAAUUCCAGCCUUUGGAGGGGGGAGGAGGGUGCUGUCCGCUGCUCUUAGAUUUCCAGGCGCCCUCGGACCCUCAAGGCAGGAAGGAGAGCGCUCAGACAUCAGUGGCCCAGCUCGGCUGGGCUGGGGCUCAUAACUCCGCCCCCAGGAGCAGCCAGAAGCCACAUGGACAGAGGUCUGUGCUAAGGUGGCAGGAGGUGCCCGGUGACCCCGAAGUGAGGGGUACAGCAUACCCACCCUGUACUCUCAGGGAGACAGCCCACACGGGUGGGUGUGACCCCCAGCAAUGCAGGAGGUGGGGUGCCCCAGUGCUGGGGAGCUUGUGGCAAGCAGAGCUGCUCUCUGCCAGCUGGAGCGGGAGCUGGAGCGGGAGCUGGAGCUGGAGCGGGA